CAGCCGCCGCGGGAAUACGAAGGGGGCUAGCGUUGUUCGGAUUUACUGGGCGUAAAGGGCGCGUAGGCGGACUGAUAAGUCAGGGGUGAAAUCCCAAGGCUCAACCUUGGAACUGCCUUUGAUACUGUUUGUCUUGAGUUCGAGAUAGGUAAGUGGAACUGCGAGUGUAGAGGUGAAAUUCGUAGAUAUUCGCAAGAACACCAGUGGCGAAGGCGGCUUACUGGCUCGAAACUGACGCUGAGGCGCGAAAGCGUGGGGAGCAAACAGGAUUAGAUACCCCCGAGUCCCUGUCUCUUAUACA
rnacentral:rRNA from 1 species